rnacentral:misc_RNA from 1 species
UCCAGAUUAUCCAACAACCAAAAUUUGUAAAAAAGAAAUCGGUGGUGGGGGCGGGCUGCUGCUCACACUCUCUUCUGCCGCAGUAUGUGAGUUGUUUUCAGAGAUGAGCCUUCAAGACUUUCAUGGUUCAAAGGAAACAAUGGCAGCAGAGAAAGCCAGCGAAAACAACUCAAGACUAAAGGACUUCUCUGCCACUACACCAGCAGUGCGACAAUUCAUGGAAUCUCACACCUGGGCGAGCAGCCCUACGACUACCACUGCAGAAGAGGUAUCUGGUCCCUGCUGGUGCUCCAUGGCAAGCAGCCUCUUCCUACUCAUUUACUUUCAUGUCGAGCGCUACGCGUCCCGACCCUUCGUCACUAUCGUUAAUGCGCAUGUCAGGGAUUCGCUUCCGUUUCCAGCCGUCACCAUUUGCAACCUGAAUCAGUUUCAUCGAGAAAGAGUCCCGCGCAACGAUCCACGUGUUGUGGAUUUGCUUCGCAAUUUGAGCGCGAUCAAAUCUCUAGCGAAGGUCGUGGAUCUUCCACCAGUGCCACGUGACCAGUUUCCUCUCACAGGCGAACGUUUGAUGGAGAUUGCAGUGAACGCCUCUCACAAACUAAACGACUUGUUCAUGGUCUGUAUCUGGAAGACGCAGCCCAUAGCGUGUGACCUCCUGUUCCAUCGUACACUAACCGACCUUGGCUUCUGCUUCACCUUCAACUCUCACCUUAGCGGCGACCGCUUCAAUGCCACGGACUCCAGACACACAAGUGGACUGCAACUGCUACUCAACAUCGAGCAGGAUAAAUCCUACUACUCAAAGUUUAGCAUCGCAGGGGUAAAGGUACUGUUUCACGAGCCAGAAGAGGUACCCCUUUUAAUAAAUAAGGGUAUCGUGGUUGGGCCAGGUACCUUCACGGCUGUCGCUAUGAGGCGGGAGAAGAUCCGCAGACUGCCGCCACCGUUCAAAGCUUUUGGGCAGUCAUAUUGUCUGGACACCAAAAGGGACGACUACAAGUCACCUUUGACCCGGUAUCAGAAUUACUCUUACACGAAAAGCGCCUGCUGGCAGAACUGUUUUGCCGGAAGAAUGGCUAAACAAUGUGGCUGCAGAUACUUUUUUGAACAGGGUGAUGAUCCGCUCUGUUCAAUCGACGACCUGGAAGAGUGCUACCUUCCUUACUCAGAACAAAUAUCCAUGGAGGACAAUGAAAACUGUAACUGUUCUACCCCGUGUGAAGAGGUCCACUACUUGUCUUCUCUGUCGUCAACGGUUCUGGCAUCCACCUUCGUGGUAAAGCAGCUGAUCAACUCCAGCAUCAUAAAGAAGAAGGCUUCCAUAAGAGACAACUUCAUCCAUCUGGAGAUACAUUACGAAACUUUGACUGAGAGCGAAAUCUACCAGAAAGAGGAAAUGACAGUGAUGAGUAUCUUGGGGGACGUUGGAGGACACAUGGGCCUGUGCAUGGGUGCCAGCUUCUUGUCUGUUAUCGAGCUGCUGGAGGUGGGGCUUCUUUUCGUCUGCAGAUGUCUUUGCAGCCUCAUCCCAGGCUUUAGGGCCAAGGGUUAGCCUCCCGCCCUCCAGUAGACACCAAACAUUCAAGAUGCUCCACAGGAAACUCGGAGUGCAUGACAUGUUGAUGAUGCUCCACAGAUCCUUCGGGGAUGUUUUCCUUGCUUGUUUGUGCUAAAUUUACUGUUUGUGCCUACCAUGUGACAUGUGGAGAGCUUUGCUGAUGCAGUGCCUGUGGCGAACUGUCCUGUAUACAGAGGCCGUUUGUUCCCUGCUCCCUUAGACAGAGGCUCUCGUCUUCAGUCUUCGCGUGUUCUGCUGCAAGGAAUUCUAGUAUGUGCAGGGGCACCAAAGAUAGCAUUUAAGAUCCGGUAUGAACACUACACAGACGUAAACAUUGAACUGCAGAAUUUAUGUAGCUUCCGGUUAAUAAAGGUCCGCGCUUGUGGUUUGCCAUAACUUGUUUGUUAUGUUAUUAUUGUUUGUGCUUUAGAUGCUUCACGGCAUUUCUGAAUUGUUUUAUGUGCAUAGAA